GCCGCCAUGGCGGCCGCGGGAAUUCGAUUGUGGCAGGGGCGGCGGUAAUACGUAGGUAGCGAGCGUUAUUCGGAUUUACUGGGCGUAAAGGGUCCGCAGGGGGCCCGCCAAGUCUGAUGUGAAAGCCUACGGCUCAACCGUGGAAGUGCAUCGGAUACUGGCGGGCUAGAGUGCACGAGGGGUAGACGGAAUUUCAGGUGUAGCGGUGGAAUGCGUAGAUAUCUGAAAGAACACCGAUGGCGAAAGCGGUCUACUGGCGUGUUACUGACCCUCAGGGACGAAAGUGUGGGGAGCAAACAGGAUUAGAUACCCUGGUAGUCCACACUGUAAACGGUGCGCAUUCGUUGCGGGAAGAACUUCGGUCCUUUCCGUGACUUAGCUAACGCGUUAAAUGCGCCGCCUGGGAACUACGGUCGCAAGACUAAAACUCAAAGGAAUUGACGGGGGCCCGCACAAGCGGUGGAGCAUGUGGCUUAAUUCGAGGCAACGCGAAGAACCUUACCUGGGUUUGACAUUCAUUGGACCGGGGAUGAAAGUUCCCUUUUCGCAAGAACCGAUGAACAGGUGCUGCAUGGCUGUCGUCAGCUCGUGUCGUGAGAUGUUCGGUUAAGUCCGGCAACGAGCGCAACCCGUACUGUCUGUUACUAACGGUUAAAGCCGAGGACUCUGACAGGACUGCCCGUGUCAAGCGGGAGGAAGGUGCGGAUGACGUCAAGUCAGUAUGGCCCUUACGCCCAGGGCUGCACACGUGCUACAAUGGCUGGUACAAUGGGACGCAAUGCCGCGAGGCGGAGCAAAUCCACAAAACCAGCCCCAGUUCAGAUUGGAGUCUGCAACUCGACUCCAUGAAGCCGGAAUCGCUAGUAAAGGCGUAUCAGCUACGACGCCUUGAAUACGUUCCCGGGCCUUGUACACACCGCCCGUCACAUCAUGGAAGCCGGCUGCACCCGACAGGCUCGAUCCAACCCGCAAGGGAGGUAGGGCACUAAGGUGUGUCUGGUAACUGGGAUGAAGUCGUAACAAGGUAACCAAUCACUAGUGAAUUC
rnacentral:rRNA from 1 species